UACGUAGGGGGGCAAGCGUUGUCCGGAUUUAUUGGGCGGUAAGAGCGUGUAGGCGGCUUGCAAGUCCGUUGUGAAACUCGAGGCUCAACCUCGAGACGCCGGUGGAAACUGCAAGCUAGAGUCCGGAAGAGGAGAGUGGAAUUCCGUGGUGUAGCGGUGAAAUGCGCAGAUAUCGGGAAGAAUAUCCGUGGCGAAGGCGGCUCUCUGGGUACGGCACUGACGCUGAGACGCGAAAGCGUGGGAGCGAACGAGG
rnacentral:rRNA from 1 species